GCCCGGCUAGCUCAAUUGGUAGAGCGUGAGACUCUUAAUCUCAAGGUUGUGGGUUCGAUCCCCACGUUGGGGGCU